GUAGAGAGAUACAUUCAGAGAGAGACGGAGGGGGAGAGAGAGGUAGAGAGAGAGCUAGAGAGAGGGGGUGGGAGAGAUGGAAGGAGAGGUAGAGAGAGAGACAUUCAGAGAGAGACGGAGGGAGAGAGAUGGAGGGAGAGGUAGAGAGAGCGCUACAGAGAUGGCGGGAGAGAGAGAGAGAGAGGGAAAGGUAGAGAGAGCAACAGAGAGGGGGAAGGGGAGAAAUUGAGGGAGUGGUAGUGAGAGAGACAUUCAGGGAGACUAGGAGAGGUCACAGAGAAUGACGCGUGGUGAGGCCAACGAGAACAGAAGAGAACAGGGCGGAAGAGUAACAAAGCUGUUUGAACAUUUGAAAAUGGCACACUGAUUCAUAUACAUCCAAGGCUUCUGCUUUCAUUUGUUCAACUGAAAGUACACUGUGUUUCUUUUUUUUUGUUUUUGUGUUACCGGUCAAGUGAAGAGAAUAAGAGACCAAGGUUAUGGAGAUGUGUACAGCGGAAGAGAGGGAAGUGAGGCACCUUGAGCCCACACAAAAGAAAAAAGGGGACGGAAAGUGAGACCGCAUCCAAUCAAAACAGCGAGAGGGAGGACGCCGCACACACACAUACACGUACGCACGCAUGAACACACACAGAGCGAACACCCACAGGCAGGGUUUCUAAACAGUCGGCUGGAGGUCUGCCGGGCUCCUGUCGUAGACUCCCUCCUCUUUGUUUCCUUUCUCUCUAAUGCCCCUCUCUCUAAGCCCAUCUUUAGGAGGAAACGGGGCAGAACAAACAGAGCAGGAGCUCAGCGGAGGGGAUAAGACACUCCUCGAGGACCCCCUACCGCUAACCCGGUGUCGAGGAGAUGCUCUGCGAGCACAGGACUGCCGAGGUGUUCUGUCACUAAAAGACUACCGAGAUGCUCUGCUCGUCACAGACUGCUGAGAUGCUCUGCUCGUCACAGACUGCUGAGAUGUUCUGCUAGCAGAAGACUGCUGAGGAUAUGUUCUACUACUUAAACCUGAGAUGCUCUGCUAGAAGCAGUCUGUUGAGGAUAUGUUCUGCUAGUAAAAGACUGUUGAUGAGAUGUUCUACUAGUAACACCCUGUUGAAGAGAUGUUCUAGUGCAACAGACUGCUGAUGAGAAGUUCUACAAG
ensembl:lncRNA